UACGGGGGGAGCAAACGUUGUUCGGAAUCACUGGGCGUAAAGGGCGUGUAGGCGGCUGAAUAAGUGGGAUGUUAAAUCCCCCGGCUCAACCGGGGAACUGCAUCUCAUACUGUUCAGCUUGGGUACAGCAGAGGAGACUGGAAUUCCCGGUGUAGCGGUGAAAUUCGUAGAUAUUCGGAGGAACACCAGAAGCGAAGGCGGCCAACUGGCCCGAUACUGACGCUGAGGCGCGAAAGCGUGGGGAGCAAACAGG
rnacentral:rRNA from 1 species